GACAUAUACAAACACAACCGGCGCGAGUAUUAAAACAAAUCUACACGCCAUAAAACCAGUUCAAGUAUUUCGGCGGUUCUAAUGGUACUAAUAACGGUUCACAAAAACUAUUCAAUGUGUUAUUCCACGGGUCGCAACCCUUAGCCGGAAUAAAGUCAAUCUCAACGGUUGCGUCGUUUCGUUUUUUUGAUUCAGCGCUCCACCGAAAUCAAGGGACGCAACCCUUCGCAGAAAUCCCGACAGGACUUAUAGUUGAUAUCAGAUGGUGUGGAUAAUCGAACAACCUGCGUUUUUCUGCAAGUCUUCAUCCUGCCAUGGCCAUAUCAAUUAAAUUGAAUGUUUCAAAUUAAUGCAUUAUCACAAUUAAUUCAAAAGGAGAAUUUCAAUGUAUUUGAUAUUGAGACGGUCUAGAGGAAGGCCGCGACAGGCUUACAACAGUGUCACUGUCGUCGGUGUAAUUUUCGCUUCCAUUCAAGUAUCUAAUCCCUUCAGGUUUUGGUUUUUCUUUUUUUCUUUGGACCACGUACUUCCCAA